GGGGGGUGCCCCCAAACUUGCCUGACAAAACAAGUCCGGACAAAAGACUGCACUGCAGCUCGUUCACUCGAAGGAAAAACAAGUCUCCUCACAGCAUCCAUCAACUGACACUACUCGGAACCCGAACAGAAGGCCAUCGUCUGCUGGGGUGGAGGGAGCAUGGCCAGAGACAGGAGCAGACCCAACAAAGCAACCAAGAGAGCCGACUCCACUCUCCGCCGCCAACCAACUCUCGGCCAAUGUCCAGUCCGCGUGGAUGAGCGAGAAUAUGUCCAAGAAGACUGAGGUGUCUGGUACCUGCUCAUUCAGCCAAGACACUGUGAAGCUUGUCCCGUUCCCGGCGCUCAGUGCCAGCUCCGCAGCCCUGUCUCUUCAUCCGUAUCUCCUCCAGUCUCUCCAAACUGACUCUGGUGUAGCAGAGACCCAGUAGCUGGUCUCCAUGGCCAAAAGAGUCCCGGAAGGCAGAUCCAGAAGUCCACAAAAAGCACCGCAGAGGUCACAAAAGUGCCACUUCUUGUGGGCAAAAAAAAAAAAUAAUAAUAAUAAUAAUAAAUAAAUAAAUAAAUAUAUAUAUAUAUAUAUAUAUUUAUAAAAUAACACAUGAAAACUAGAGGGAAACACAAAAGGAUGACACAAGAGCACAGAGCUCCUGCCAACAGCAGUCACUACAGCGGCGCCAUAUUGGAAGAUAGGACAUGAAGAGAAUAUGAACACUUUUAGAUAUUUUGGGAAAGUAAAUACAAUUUUUUAUUCAUCUUUAGUUAUGAUCAUGAUUUCUGGCUAUGUUAGGCCAGCAAAGACGGCCUUGCUGGCCCUGACAGCUCACCAUUGAUAGAACGGUACCUCGGUUUUCGUUGGUAACAAGUUCCAAAGAGGUUGGACUUUAGUUUUAAACUAUUGCUAGUGAGUAAGACCAAAAACUUUGGUCGGAUUUGCAAACUAAUGGCGGGGGUGCUUGCAACUCAAAUUUUUGCAUGCAGUUUAAAGGCCUACUGAAAUGAGAUUUUCUUAUUUAAACGGGGAUAGCAGGUCCAUUUUAUGUGUCAUACUUGAUCAUUUCGCGAUAUUGCCAUAUUUUUGCUGAAAGGAUUUAGUAGCGAACAUCCACGAUAAAGUUCGCAACUUCUGGUGCUAAGACAAAUGCCCUGCCUCUACCGGAAGUCGCAGACGAUGAUGUCACACGUGUGAUGGCUCCUCACAUAUUCACAUUGUUUAUAAUGGGAGCCUCCAACAAAAAGUGCUAUUCGGACCGAGAAAACGACAAUUUCCCCAUUAAUUUGAGCGAGGAUGAAAGAUUCGUGUUUGAGGAUAUUGAUAGUGACGGACUAGAAAGAAAAAAAAAAAAAAAAAAAAAAGUUAAAAAAAACAAAA